GAUGAACGCUGGCGGCGUGCCUAAUACAUGCAAGUAGAACGCUGAAGCUUGGUGCUUGCACCGAGCGGAUGAGUUGCGAACGGGUGAGUAACGCGUAGGUAACCUGCCUCUUAGCGGGGGAUAACUAUUGGAAACGAUAGCUAAUACCGCAUAAAAGACGAUAUCGCAUGAUAUUGAUUUGAAAGGUGCAAAUGCAUCACUAAGAGAUGGACCUGCGUUGUAUUAGCUAGUUGGUGAGGUAACGGCUCACCAAGGCAACGAUACAUAGCCGACCUGAGAGGGUGAUCGGCCACACUGGGACUGAGACACGGCCCAGACUCCUACGGGAGGCAGCAGUAGGGAAUCUUCGGCAAUGGGGGCAACCCUGACCGAGCAACGCCGCGUGAGUGAAGAAGGUUUUCGGAUCGUAAAGCUCUGUUGUAAGAGAAGAACGAGUGUGAGAGUGGAAAGUUCACACUGAGACGG
rnacentral:rRNA from 1 species